rnacentral:rRNA from 1 species
AAACCAACAGGGAUUGCCUCAGUAACGGCGAGUGAAGCGGCAACAGCUCAAAUUUGAAAUCUGGCCGCAAGGUCCGAGUUGUAAUUUGUAGAGGAUGUUUUGGGCACCGCUGUGGGUUAAAUUUCUUGGAACAGAAUGUCAAAGAGGGUGAGAGUCCCGUCUUGGCCCGCGGUAGGACCUAUGUAAAACUCCUUCGACGAGUCGACUUGUUUGGGAAUGCAGGUCAAAAUGGGUGGUAAAUUUCAUCUAAAGCUAAAUAUUGGCCAGAGACCGAUAGCGCACAAGUAGAGUGAUCGAAAGAUGAAAAGCACUUUGAAAAGAGAGUUAAACAGUAUGUGAAAUUGUUGAAAGGGAAGCGCUGGCAACCAGACUCGAGCGCGGUGUUCCCCCUGGCUUCUGCCUGGGUUAUUUCACCGUGACCGGGCCAUCAUCAGUUUUGAGGGCUGGUUAAAGACUUAGGGAAUGUAUCCUCCCCUUCGGGGGUGGACUUAUAGCCUUGGGUGUCAUGCAGCCUCUUGGGACUGAGGAACGCGCUUCGGCGAGGAUGAUGGCGUAAUGGUUGUCAGCGAC